rnacentral:rRNA from 1 species
UACGUAGGGUGCAAGCGUUGUCCGGAAUUAUUGGGCGUAAAGAGCUCGUAGGCGGUUUGUCGCGUCUGCUGUGAAAACCCGAGGCUCAACCUCGGGCCUGCAGUGGGUACGGGCAGACUAGAGUGUGGUAGGGGGGACUGGAAUUCCCGGUGUAGCGGUGAAAUGCGCAGAUAUCGGGAAGAACACCCGUGGCUAAGGCGGCUCUCUAGUACGGUACUGACGCUGAGACGCGAAAGCGUGGGGAGCGAACAGG